UCCCUGGUGGCCCAGUGGCUAUGACACUGCACUCCCAAUGCAGGGAGCCCGGGUUCAAUCCCUGGUCAGGGUA
rnacentral:tRNA from 1 species